GGGUUGUGAGGUUAAGCGACUAAGCGUACACGGUGGAUGCCCUGGCAGUCAGAGGCGAUGAAGGACGUGCUAAUCUGCGAUAAGCGUCGGUAAGGUGAUAUGAACCGUUAUAACCGGCGAUUUCCGAAUGGGGAAACCCAGUGUGAUUCGUCACACUAUCAUUAACUGAAUCCAUAGGUUAAUGAGGCGAACCGGGGGAACUGAAACAUCUAAGUACCCCGAGGAAAAGAAAUCAACCGAGAUUCCCCCAGUAGCGGCGAGCGAACGGGGAGCAGCCCAGAGCCUGAAUCAGUGUGUGUGUUAGUGGAAGCGUCUGGAAAGGCGCGCGAUACAGGGUGACAGCCCCGUACACAAAAAUGCACAUGCUGUGAGCUCGAUGAGUAGGGCGGGACACGUGGUAUCCUGUCUGAAUAUGGGGGGACCAUCCUCCAAGGCUAAAUACUCCUGACUGACCGAUAGUGAACCAGUACCGUGAGGGAAAGGCGAAAAGAACCCCGGCGAGGGGAGUGAAAAAGAACCUGAAACCGUGUACGUACAAGCAGUGGGAGCACGCUUAGGCGUGUGACUGCGUACCUUUUGUAUAAUGGGUCAGCGACUUAUAUUCUGUAGCAAGGUUAACCGAAUAGGGGAGCCGAAGGGAAACCGAGUCUUAACUGGGCGUUAAGUUGCAGGGUAUAGACCCGAAACCCGGUGAUCUAGCCAUGGGCAGGUUGAAGGUUGGGUAACACUAACUGGAGGACCGAACCGACUAAUGUUGAAAAAUUAGCGGAUGACUUGUGGCUGGGGGUGAAAGGCCAAUCAAACCGGGAGAUAGCUGGUUCUCCCCGAAAGCUAUUUAGGUAGCGCCUCGUGAAUUCAUCUCCGGGGGUAGAGCACUGUUUCGGCAAGGGGGUCAUCCCGACUUACCAACCCGAUGCAAACUGCGAAUACCGGAGAAUGUUAUCACGGGAGACACACGGCGGGUGCUAACGUCCGUCGUGAAGAGGGAAACAACCCAGACCGCCAGCUAAGGUCCCAAAGUCAUGGUUAAGUGGGAAACGAUGUGGGAAGGCCCAGACAGCCAGGAUGUUGGCUUAGAAGCAGCCAUCAUUUAAAGAAAGCGUAAUAGCUCACUGGUCGAGUCGGCCUGCGCGGAAGAUGUAACGGGGCUAAACCAUGCACCGAAGCUGCGGCAGCGACGCUUAUGCGUUGUUGGGUAGGGGAGCGUUCUGUAAGCCUGUGAAGGUGUGCUGUGAGGCAUGCUGGAGGUAUCAGAAGUGCGAAUGCUGACAUAAGUAACGAUAAAGCGGGUGAAAAGCCCGCUCGCCGGAAGACCAAGGGUUCCUGUCCAACGUUAAUCGGGGCAGGGUGAGUCGACCCCUAAGGCGAGGCCGAAAGGCGUAGUCGAUGGGAAACAGGUUAAUAUUCCUGUACUUGGUGUUACUGCGAAGGGGGGACGGAGAAGGCUAUGUUGGCCGGGCGACGGUUGUCCCGGUUUAAGCGUGUAGGCUGGUUUUCCAGGCAAAUCCGGAAAAUCAAGGCUGAGGCGUGAUGACGAGGCACUACGGUGCUGAAGCAACAAAUGCCCUGCUUCCAGGAAAAGCCUCUAAGCAUCAGGUAACAUCAAAUCGUACCCCAAACCGACACAGGUGGUCAGGUAGAGAAUACCAAGGCGCUUGAGAGAACUCGGGUGAAGGAACUAGGCAAAAUGGUGCCGUAACUUCGGGAGAAGGCACGCUGAUAUGUAGGUGAAGCGACUUGCUCGUGGAGCUGAAAUCAGUCGAAGAUACCAGCUGGCUGCAACUGUUUAUUAAAAACACAGCACUGUGCAAACACGAAAGUGGACGUAUACGGUGUGACGCCUGCCCGGUGCCGGAAGGUUAAUUGAUGGGGUCAGCGCAAGCGAAGCUCUUGAUCGAAGCCCCGGUAAACGGCGGCCGUAACUAUAACGGUCCUAAGGUAGCGAAAUUCCUUGUCGGGUAAGUUCCGACCUGCACGAAUGGCGUAAUGAUGGCCAGGCUGUCUCCACCCGAGACUCAGUGAAAUUGAACUCGCUGUGAAGAUGCAGUGUACCCGCGGCAAGACGGAAAGACCCCGUGAACCUUUACUAUAGCUUGACACUGAACAUUGAGCCUUGAUGUGUAGGAUAGGUGGGAGGCUUUGAAGUGUGGACGCCAGUCUGCAUGGAGCCGACCUUGAAAUACCACCCUUUAAUGUUUGAUGUUCUAACGUUGACCCGUAAUCCGGGUUGCGGACAGUGUCUGGUGGGUAGUUUGACUGGGGCGGUCUCCUCCUAAAGAGUAACGGAGGAGCACGAAGGUUGGCUAAUCCUGGUCGGACAUCAGGAGGUUAGUGCAAUGGCAUAAGCCAGCUUGACUGCGAGCGUGACGGCGCGAGCAGGUGCGAAAGCAGGUCAUAGUGAUCCGGUGGUUCUGAAUGGAAGGGCCAUCGCUCAACGGAUAAAAGGUACUCCGGGGAUAACAGGCUGAUACCGCCCAAGAGUUCAUAUCGACGGCGGUGUUUGGCACCUCGAUGUCGGCUCAUCACAUCCUGGGGCUGAAGUAGGUCCCAAGGGUAUGGCUGUUCGCCAUUUAAAGUGGUACGCGAGCUGGGUUUAGAACGUCGUGAGACAGUUCGGUCCCUAUCUGCCGUGGGCGCUGGAGAACUGAGGGGGGCUGCUCCUAGUACGAGAGGACCGGAGUGGACGCAUCACUGGUGUUCGGGUUGUCAUGCCAAUGGCACUGCCCGGUAGCUAAAUGCGGAAGAGAUAAGUGCUGAAAGCAUCUAAGCACGAAACUUGCCCCGAGAUGAGUUCUCCCUGAC
rnacentral:rRNA from 1 species